rnacentral:rRNA from 1 species
GACGAACGCUGGCGGCGUGCCUAAUACAUGCAAGUCGAGCGGGCCUCCGGAGGUGCUUGCACCUCCGGAAGGCCAGCGGCGGACGGGUGAGUAACACGUGGGCAACCUGCCUUUGAGGCCGGGAUAACACCGGGAAACCGGUGCUAAUACCGGAUGCGUCCCCUUUCGCGCCUACGAGAGGGGAGAAAGACGGUCUUUAAGGCCGUCGCUCAAAGAGGGGCCCGCGGCGCAUUAGCUGGUUGGUGGGGUAAGGGCCUACCAAGGCGACGAUGCGUUGCCGACCUGAGAGGGUGAUCGGCCACACUGGGACUGAGACACGGCCCAGACUCCUGCGGGAGGCAGCAGUAGGGAAUCAUCCGCAAUGGGCGAAAGCCUGACGGUGCAACGCCGCGUGAGUGAGGAAGGUUUUCGGAUCGUAAAGCUCUGUUGUGAGGGAAGAACAGCUUCCGGAGGAAAUGCCGGAGGUUUGCCGGUACCUCACCAGAAAGCCCCGGCUAACUACGUGCCAGCCGCCGCGGUAA